UGAAGCCCUAACAAGUGCCCAUACUUGAGAGAAAGGCUUGUGACUCAAGAACCAGUGGAUUUCUUUUGAGGAAAAGGAGACAACUUGGUGUGGUCUGUCCAGCAAUUACCCAUCAGAAAUAGCUGGACUACUCACAGGUUGAAAUCUGGAGGGCGCAGACAAACACGCGACUGAGAGGUGACAACCAUGGAGUCCGAGAAUGCAAGAACAUGUCUUCUACUGCCAAGGACCAGCUGACACCCACAGAGUAGCAGAAUGGGAAAGGCUGUGUGCACCAAAAGGGAGGAAGUAUAUAAAAAGAUUUUUGUUUUCAGUCACGCUGUGACCUAAGUAACGUCCUAGUUUAAACAUUAAACUCAAGGUCAUUAACUUGUCACAGUCAUUUCUGAUUUCAAACUUUAUAGUAAAAUAAGAGUUAAGAAGGCAUGAAAAGGCUCAUUAAUUGAUAUGAUAAAGCUUGCUUAAAUGUAACCUGUUAUAUACUUCAUAUACAUAGAAACAAUGUUUUUAAAGUUAUGAAACUUCAAAACUGUAUGCAUUGUUUAAGUCAGUAUGUGCUUUGCAUGUCAUGCCUUAAAGGUGAAACCAUGUAAAAAAUGCUAGAUCCUACUUUUGCACUUCCAAGAAAACAGAAUAUCAGGGGUUUGAUUUCUCUUAUGCUAAAAAUAAAGAUAAUUUGUGAAACUAUAAUCUGAAGUCAGAAAAUGUUGGAAACAAAAGCAGUUUUAUAUUACUUAUUCAGUCACAGGCUGAUGUUUGUAGCAAAUGAUUUACGUGAGAAAAUUGACCAUGUCUCAUGCAUCACUAUUAAUUUUUACACUUUAAAAUAGGCACAAUUUAAACCGAGGGCAACAUACUCUCUUGGCAUUGUUGCUAUCUUACUGCCAGUCUCAGUGUUUUAAAGUAGGUGAAAUUACUUGGUUUCAUUUUCAUUAAAAAUCCGA